rnacentral:rRNA from 1 species
GACGAACGCUGGCGGCGUGCUUAACACAUGCAAGUCGAACGGAAAGGCCCUGCUUUUGUGGGGUGCUCGAGUGGCGAACGGGUGAGUAACACGUGAGUAACCUGCCCUUGACUUUGGGAUAACUUCAGGAAACUGGGGCUAAUACCGGAUAGGAGCUCCUGCUGCAUGGUGGGGGUUGGAAAGUUUCGGCGGUUGGGGAUGUACUCGCGGCUUAUCAGCUUGUUGGUGGGGUAGUGGCUUACCAAGGCUUUGACGGGUAGCCGGCCUGAGAGGGUGACCGGCCACAUUGGGACUGAGAUACGGCCCAGACUGCUACGGGAGGCAGCAGUGGGGAAUAUUGCACAAUGGGCGGAAGCCUGAUGCAGCAACGCCGCGUGCGGGAUGACGGCCUUCGGGUUGUAAACCGCUUUCGCAUGUGACGAAGCGUGAGUGACGGUAAUGGGUAAAGAAGCACCGGCUAACUACGUG